GAUCAGUGGCUCAGGACGACGCUGGCGGCGUUGCUUUAACACAUGCAAGUCGAACGGUAAGGCCCUUCGGGGUACACGAGUGGCGAACGGGUGAGUAACACGUGGGUGAUCUGCCCUGCACUUCGGGAUAAGCUUGGGAAACUGGGUCUAAUACCGGAUAGGACCACGGUCUGCAUGGAUUGUGGUGGAAAGCUUUUGCGGUGUGGGAUGGGCCCGCGGCCUAUCAGCUUGUUGUGGGGUGAUGGCCUACCAAGGCGACGACGGGUAGCCGGCCUGAGAGGGUGUCCGGCCACACUGGGACUGAGAUACGGCCCAGACUCCUACGGGAGGCAGCAGUGGGGAAUAUUGCACAAUGGGCGCAAGCCUGAUGCAGCGACGCCGCGUGGGGGAUGACGGCCUUCGGGUUGUAAACCUCUUUCAGCAGGGACGAAGGGUGACUGACGGUACCUGUAGAAGAAGCACCGGCCAACUACGUG
rnacentral:rRNA from 1 species